rnacentral:rRNA from 1 species
GAUGAACGCUGGCGGCGUGCCUAAUACAUGCAAGUCGAGCGAACAGAUAAGGAGCUUGCUCCUGUGACGUUAGCGGCGGACGGGUGAGUAACACGUGGGUAACCUACCUAUAAGACUGGGAUAACUUCGGGAAACCGGAGCUAAUACCGGAUAACAUUUGGAACCGCAUGGUUCUAAAGUGAAAGAUGGGUUUGCUAUCACUUAUAGAUGGACCCGCGCCGUAUUAGCUAGUUGGUAAGGUAACGGCUUACCAAGGCAACGAUACGUAGCCGACCUGGGAGAGGGAUCGCCCGCACGGGAAGGGAGACACGCACCAGACUCCUACGGGAGGGAGCAGUCGGCAAUCUUCCGCAAUGGGCGAAAGCCUGACGGAGCAACGCCGCGUGAGUGAUGAAGGGUUUCGGCUCGUAAAACUCUGUUAUUAGGGAAGAACAAAUGUGUAAGUGGAUGUGCACGUCUUGACGGUACCUGAUCAGAAAGCCACGGCUAACUACGUG